GACGAACGCUGGCGGCGUGCUUAACACAUGCAAGUCGAACGGAAAGGCCCUGCUUUUGUGGGGUGCUCGAGUGGCGAACGGGUGAGUAACACGUGAGUAACCUGCCCUUGACUUUGGGAUAACUUCAGGAAACUGGGGCUAAUACCGGAUAGGAGCUCCUGCUGCAUGGUGGGGGUUGGAAAGUUUCGGCGGUUGGGGAUGGACUCGCGGCUUAUCAGCUUGUUGGUGGGGUAGUGGCUUACCAAGGCUUUGACGGGUAGCCGGCCUGAGAGGGUGACAGGCAACAUUGGGAGUGAGAUAAGGCCCAGACUACUACGGGAGGCAGCAGUGGGGAAUAUUGCACAAUGGGCGGAAGCCUGAUGCAGCAACGACGCGUGCGGGAUGACGGCCUUCGGGUUGUAAACCGCUUUCGCCUGUGACGAAGCGUGAGUGACGGUAAUGGGUAAAGAAGCACCGGCUAACUACGUG
rnacentral:rRNA from 1 species